rnacentral:lncRNA from 1 species
UCUGAUUGACGUUCAAAGUGGAGGACCUCCAGAACUAGGUAAGAACUGGGAACAUCUUCCUAUAAUCUUCCUUACGUGAGCAACAUUGUCGUCUUCAGUCUCCAACUUUCAGUCGCUGGCAUGAUGCUUUCGUGAUUCUGUCUAUGUAGGCCCAGCAAUUUGAAAGUUGAAACCUAAGACCUCACUUCACCGAAAACAGCUUCAGCCCGGAGGAAGGCUGCGGGAUCAUCAGAAAUCCAAACGCAGUUAACAACUAACUCGACUCCAGUCGAUGAUGACAAUGUGAUAAACUACUACACCCUCAUGAAGGAAGUGUGACAGAAUCAUAACCAGGGACAUCCAGUUGGCAUCGCAAUCCAUUUUGCAAGCCAAAAAUAGCAGCUUAUGUGUGCUCAACUAUAAUACUGAGGUUGGUGUGCUGUUAUAUGAAUGUCUACUACCUUAAUAGAGUUUGUGAGAGUUUAUAACGUCUUGACAUUGUAUAAUCCUUAAUGGUUGUAAAGAGUUGUGUGUACUCAGAAAUCAUCCUCGUAUGUGUUGAUCGAAGUAAUAAUCUAAAAAGUUAUUUUUUGUGAAUGCAUUAAUUGGAGCAUAAU